UACGUAGGGGGCAAGCGUUGUCCGGAAUUAUUGGGCGUAAAGAGCGCGUAGGCGGUCCGGUAAGUCGGCUGUGAAAGUCAAGGGCUCAACCCUUGAAAGCCGGCCGAUACUGUCGGACUAGAGUCCGGAAGAGGCGAGUGGAAUUCCCGGUGUAGCGGUGAAAUGCGUAGAUAUCGAGAGGAACACCUGCGGCGAAGGCGGGUUGCUGGGCUGACACUGACGCUGAUGUGCGAAAGCUAGGGGAGCGAACGGG
rnacentral:rRNA from 1 species